rnacentral:rRNA from 1 species
GACGAACGCUGGAGGCGUGCUUAACACAUGCAAGUCGAACGAUGAAAUGGAGCUUGCUCCGGUGGAUUAGUGGCGAACGGGUGAGUAACACGUGAGCAAUCUGCCCUUGACUCUGGGAUAACUGCGGGAAACUGUAGCUAAUACCGGAUACGAGGCUCGAAGGCAUCUUCGGGUCUGGAAAGAAUUUCGGUCAAGGAUGGGCUCGCGGCCUAUCAUCUGGUUGGUGAGGUAAUGGCUAACUAAGGCGACGACGGGGAGCCGGCCUGAGAGGGUGACCGGCCACACUGGGACUGAGACACGGCCCAGACUCCUACGGGAGGCAGCAGUGAGGAAUAUUGCACAAUGGGCGAAAGCCUGAUGCAGCAACGCCGCGUGAGGGAUGAAGGCCUUCGGGUUGUAAACCUCUUUUAGCAGGGAAGAAGCGAAAGUGACGGUACCUGCAGAAAAAGCACCGGCUAACUACGUGCCAGCCGCCGCCGUAAUAC